rnacentral:lncRNA from 1 species
GUGAAUCAAAAGUAUAGAAAGGGUAAGCUCUUUCACUUCAUUCUCUCGCUCUCUCUAUCUCUUUCUAUUUUUCGUAUAGAAAGAUGACACACUUGAACUUGACUGAUUUUCUUAGUAAUAAAUAAUAAUCAGAAAUCAUCCAUCUCAUAAGCAUUUCAAAGUACAUUCUAAACAAAUGAAUGCUAUAUGCUUAACACAAAGAAAUUGAUUUGAGAUUCCCUAAGUAAGUCGGUGAAUGCUUUCUUUUUGCUUGCGCAUUCACGGAUCUCUG